rnacentral:rRNA from 1 species
UACAGAGGGGGCAAGCGUUGUUCGGAAUUACUGGGCGUAAAGGGCGCGUAGGCGGCCGCCUAAGUCAGACGUGAAAUCCCUCGGCUCAACCGGGGAACUGCGUCUGAUACUGGGUGGCUUGAAUUCGGGAGAGGGAUGCGGAAUUCCAGGUGUAGCGGUGAAAUGCGUAGAUAUCAGGAGGAACACCUGCGGUGUAGACGGCUUACUGGACCAUCACUGACGCUGAGGCACGAAAGCGUGGGUAGCAAACAGG